rnacentral:rRNA from 1 species
AUUGAACGCUGGCGGCAGGCCUAACACAUGCAAGCCGAACGAGAGGCGGACGGGUGAGUAAUGUCUGGGAAACUGCCUGAUGGAGGGGGAUAACUACUGGAAACGGUCGCUAAUACCGCAUACCAUCAGAUGUGCCCAGAUGGGAUUAGCUAGUUGGUGGGGUAACGGCUCACCAAGGCGACGAUCCCUAGCUGGUCUGAGAGGAUGCCCAGCCACACUGGAAAUGUGACACGGUACAGAGUCCUACGGGAGGAGGCAGUGGUGAAUAUUGAACUAUGGGCGCAAGCCUGAUGCAGCCAUGCCGCGUGUAUGGAGAAGGCCUUCGGGUUGUAAAGUACUGUCAGCGGGGAGGCGUUACCCGCAGAAGAAGCAGCGGCUGACUCCGUACCAGCAGCCGCAGUAAUAC